rnacentral:rRNA from 1 species
AGAGUUUGAUCCUGGCUCAGAUUGAACGCUGGCGGCAUGCUUUACACAUGCAAGUCGGACGGCAGCACAGAGAAGCUUGCUUCUCGGGUGGCGAGUGGCGAACGGGUGAGUAACAUAUCGGAACGUACCGAGUAGUGGGGGAUAACUGAUCGAAAGAUCAGCUAAUACCGCAUACGUCUUGAGAGAGAAAGCAGGGGACCUUCGGGUCUUGCGCUAUUCGAGCGGCCGAUAUCUGAUUAGCUAGUUGGUGGGGUAAAGGCUCACCAAGGCGACGAUCAGUAGCGGGUCUGAGAGGAUGAUCCGCCACACUGGGACUGAGACACGGCCCAGACUCCUACGGGAGGCAGCAGUGGGGAAUUUUGGACAAUGGGCGCAAGCCUGAUCCAGCCAUGCCGCGUGUCUGAAGAAGGCCUUCGGGUUGUAAAGGACUUUUGUCAGGGAAGAAAAGGCUGUUGCUAAUACCAGCGGCUGAUGACGGUACCUGAAGAAUAAGCACCGGCUAACUACGUGCCAGCAGCCGCGGUAAUACGUAGGGUGCGAGCGUUAAUCGGAAUUACUGGGCGUAAAGCGGGCGCAGACGGUUACUUAAGCAGGAUGUGAAAUCCCCGGGCUCAACCCGGGAACUGCGUUCUGAACUGGGUGACUCGAGUGUGUCAGAGGGAGGUAGAAUUCCACGUGUAGCAGUGAAAUGCGUAGAGAUGUGGAGGAAUACCGAUGGCGAAGGCAGCCUCCUGGGAUAACACUGACGUUCAUGCCCGAAAGCGUGGGUAGCAAACAGGAUUAGAUACCCUGGUAGUCCACGCCCUAAACGAUGUCAAUUAGCUGUUGGGCAACCUGAUUGCUUAGUAGCGUAGCUAACGCGUGAAAUUGACCGCCUGGGGAGUACGGUCGCAAGAUUAAAACUCAAAGGAAUUGACGGGGACCCGCACAAGCGGUGGAUGAUGUGGAUUAAUUCGAUGCAACGCGAAGAACCUUACCUGGUCUUGACAUGUACGGAAUCCUCCGGAGACGGAGGAGUGCCUUCGGGAGCCGUAACACAGGUGCUGCAUGGCUGUCGUCAGCUCGUGUCGUGAGAUGUUGGGUUAAGUCCCGCAACGAGCGCAACCCUU